rnacentral:rRNA from 1 species
GAUCGAACGGCGUAGCUACAGGCUUAACACAUGCAAGUCGAGGGGCAGCAGUGGUCUUAGCUUGCUAAGGCCGAUGGCGACCGGCGCACGGGUGAGUAACGCGUAUCCAACCUGCCUUACACUCUUGGACAGCCUUCUGAAAGGGAGAUUAAUACAAGAUGUUAUCAUGAGUAAGCAUUUUCGCAUGAUUAAAGGUUUACCGGUGUAAGAUGGGGAUGCGUUCCAUUAGAUAGUAGGCGGGGUAACGGCCCACCUAGUCUUCGAUGGAUAGGGGUUCUGAGAGGAAGGUCCCCCACAUUGGAACUGAGACACGGUCCAA